AACCAGCACCUCAAGUGGUCAGGAGGAUUAUUGGGCCUAAAGCAUCCGUAGCCUGUUUUGUAAGUCUUCGGUUAAAUCCACAUGCUUAACAUGUGGGCUGCCGGAGAUACUGCAGAACUAGGGAGUGGGAGAGGUAGACGGUACUUGAUAGGAAGGGGUAAAAUCCUUUGAUCUAUUGAUGACCACCUGUGGCGAAGGCGGUCUACCAGAACACGUUCGACGGUGAGGGAUGAAAGCUGGGGGAGCAAACCGG
rnacentral:rRNA from 1 species